rnacentral:lncRNA from 1 species
CUCGCCGGUAAAGAGUCCUGUGAAGGAGUCUUGUCUUGUUCUUCAAUGGUAACAAUCUCUUCCUGGCAUUUCUCCACAUCUCCACCAUCAUCCUCGUCAUCGAAAUCAGGAUGAUUGUAUGCAUUUCGUAAAAAUAUUGUUAAGUCCAAAUUUGGUUCUUCUUGCUUCUCUAUCAUGUCCUUCUCCAUAGCGUUCUGUUGAUAGAGUAAGUGUUUUAGUAGGCAAUAAAAAGGUAAAUCAACAGAAAUUGAGACCUCAUUCUAAAACACAAAAGAAAGCAAUCAUACGGACGGAUGGACGGGCGACGUAUAUUAGAAGCAUCGAAGAAAAAGCAUAUGAACAGCUUUUCCAUGUCAUGAAAUUAUAGGUUGCGUAAAAGUGAGAAAAGAAGAGGAAUCAGGCCCAAAACUCAACAGACAAAUUGGAGAGACAACUUGACAAGGAUGGGUAAGCUCCUGACUACCCAACUCAUAACCAAGUUUCGUACAAAGAUUUCUCGACAAAAUUAUUAUAGCACCAGCUAACCAAUUUCAGGAACAAAAAUUAGAGAAUGUAUGCUACAGGUUUAUGAAUUACC